rnacentral:rRNA from 1 species
GAUGAACGCUGGCGGCGUGCCUAAUACAUGCCAGUCGAGCGAACAGACGAGGAGCUUGCUCCUCUGACGUUAGCGGCGGACGGGUGAGUAACACGUGGAUAACCUACCUAUAAGACUGGGAUAACUUCGGGAAACCGGAGCUAAUACCGGAUAAUAUAUUGAACCGCAUGGUUCAAUAGUGAAAGACGGUUUUGCUGUCACUUAUAGAUGGAUCCGCGCCGCAUUAGCUAGUUGGUAAGGUAACGGCUUACCAAGGCAACGAUGCGUAGCCGACCUGAGAGGGUGAUCGGCCACACUGGAACUGAGACACGGUCCAGACUCCUACGGGAGGCAGCAGUAGGGAAUCUUCCGCAAUGGGCGAAAGCUUGACGGAGCAACGCCGCGUGAGCGAUGAAGGUCUUCGGAUCGUAAAACUCUGUUAUUAGGGAAGAACAAAUGUGUAAGUAACUAUGCACGUCUUGACGGUACCUAAUCAGAAAGCCACGGCUAACUACGUG